rnacentral:rRNA from 1 species
AAAUUGAAGAGUUUGAUCAUGGCUCAGAUUGAACGCUGGCGGCAGGCCUAACACAUGCAAGUCGAGCGGUAGCACAGAAGAGCUUGCUCUUUGGGUGACGAGCGGCGGACGGGUGAGUAAUGUCUGGGAAACUGCCUGAUGGAGGGGGAUAACUACUGGAAACGGUAGCUAAUACCGCAUAACGUCUUCGGACCAAAGAGGGGGACCUUAGGGCCUCU